CAAGCCCCUCCUCCCUCUUCCCUUCCUCUGUUUCUCCCUCCCUCAAGCCCCUCUUACCUCCCCGAUCUGCUAGCGAUGCAUCCAAAUCGAUGGCCUCUAUGCACGUCCUAAGAGAAAGUGAGGCAGAGGGAGCGACCCAUGGCUGGAUUAUGUUGCUGCGAAGCUCAAUGCCUCUGCUGCGAGCCUGCAGAGAUGAGAGUAUGGACGCCGGCUGACAACGGGAUACUGUGGGCGUCGGCGGCCGGGGCUACAAUGGAGCUCGGCACCACGGCACCCGGAGCUGCAAUGGAGCUCUUCCGGGGCUGCGAUGGAGCCCGGCACCACGGCGUCCGGAGCUGCAAUGGAGCUCCGUGAGGGCUGCAAUGAAGAGCGGGCGCUACUGCCAGCGGCAUGGCAAGUUGAGGUCGGCGACGCUCGCCAUCAGUGCUGCAAUGAAGCGAGCGUUGAUGCCAAUGACACGACAAGUCGAGGACGGCGGCUCUGCAAUGAAGCGUCAAUGGAGCCAUCGACGACGGCGCUGCUGCGUGGUGAGGGAUGCAAUACUAUGGCAGUGCCGCUGCCUCGAUGAUGUUGUGCUUGUUUGGGUCGCAACAUCGCCGCUGCUGUGAUAUCGUCGGCGCUGGUUCCGUUGCCACGUUGAGGACCUGCUGUGGUCACCUUGGUCACGCGGAGUUGUAGUUGCGUUUGCUGCUUUGCGUUGCCUGUGCUGGUAGUGGUGGAUGAUUUCAUAGCAGCCGCCAUUGUAAAUUGGUGCUACCUCAUCAGGCGAGUGGCGGAUCCCUGAUCCUUGCAUGCAGUACCAGUUUAGAUGGGAGUUCUAACGACGCAUUAUACAAGGAGCUAUGACAUGCUUGAGCUAGGCUGUUGAUCACAGUGCCUUGCCAACGUGAAAGGAUUCACUACUUUCCAGAUGGUUAUAUGGAACAGGUAUGUCUCACCGCAUUGAUGUUUGCUCUUCUUGAUGCCCCAUAACUAAUGAAUGAAUUUUUCUACUCAACACAAACAAUAGCAAUUUGUGCUAUGGGGCACUGCUUGAUCUUGUGUUAAAUACUCCCUCUGUCCCACAAUAUAAGAACAUUUUUUAAACUAUGUUAGCUCGAAAAACGUUCUUAUAUUAUGGGACGGAGGGAGUAAUAAUCAUCCAGGUAUUUAAAGAUCGUCCACAUACACAUUUAGAAUAUGUUAGGGUCCUUAUGUGUGCGAGGCGUGUGCUUCUCUAGUAUGGUCAUGUAUUAGUUGACAAAUGAGUAUCCAUGAGAGGGCACCACUUUA